UACGUAGGGAGCAAGCGUUGUCCGGAAUCAUUGGGCGUAAAGCGCGCGUAGGCGGCCCCGUAAGUCCGCUGUGAAAGUCAAAGGCUCAACCUUUGAAAGCCGGUGGAUACUGUGGGGCUAGAGUCCGGAAGAGGCGAGUGGAAUUCCUGGUGUAGCGGUGGAAUGCGCAGAUAUCAGGAGGAACACCGGUGGCGAAGGCGGGUCUCUGGGCAGUAACUGACGCUGAGGAGCGAAAGCGUGGGGAGCGAACAGG
rnacentral:rRNA from 1 species